rnacentral:rRNA from 1 species
GAUGCAACGCGAACAACCUUACCUACCCUUGACAUGUCUGGAAGGCUGCUGAAAGGUGGCUGUGCCCGAAAGGGAACCGGAACACAGGUGCUGCAUGGCUGUCGUCAGCUCGUGUCGUGAGAUGUUGGGUUAAGUCCCGCAACGAGCGCAACCCUUGUCCCUAGUUGCUACGCAAGGGCACUCUAGGGAGACUGCCGGUGACAAACCGGAGGAAGGUGGGGAUGACGUCAAGUCCUCAUGGCCCUUAUGGGUAGGGCUUCACACGUCAUACAAUGGACGGUACAGAGGGUUGCCAACCCGCGAGGGGGAGCCAAUCCCAGAAAGCCGUUCGUAGUCCGGAUUGCAGUCUGCAACUCGACUGCAUGAAGUCGGAAUCGCUAGUAAUCGCGGAUCAGCAUGUCGCGGUGAAUACGUUCCCGGGUCUUGUACACACCGCCCGUCACACCAUGGGAUGCGGGAUGUACCAGAAGUAGGUAGGCUAACCGCAAGGAGGCCGCUAC